rnacentral:rRNA from 1 species
CUGAUGAGUUGCUGCUGGUUCUCUAGGGAACAUGUGCACACUUGUCGUUUUUAUAUUUCCACCUGUGCAUCUUUUGUAGACUUGGAUAUCUUUCUGUAUGCUUUUAUAGCAUGUCAGGUUUGAGGAUUGACUUUAUUGUCUGUCUUUACAUUUCCAGGUCUAUGUUCCUUCAAUAUACCCCAAUGUUAUAGAAUGUAGUAAGUGGGCCUUUGUGCCUAUAAACCUUAUACAACUUUCAGCAACGGAUCUCUUGGCUCUCGCAUCGAUGAAGAACGCAGCGAAAUGCGAUAAGUAAUGUGAAUUGCAGAAUUCAGUGAAUCAUCGAAUCUUUGAACGCACCUUGCGCUCCUUGGUAUUCCGAGGAGCAUGCCUGUUUGAGUGUCAUUAAUAUAUCAACUUCUUCAGCUUUUGUUGUUGAGUGUUGGAUGUGGGGGUUUUUUUGCUGGCCUUUCUAAAGGUCAGCUCCCCUAAAAUGCAUUAGCGGAACAAUCUGUUGACUGUUCAUUAGUGUGAUAAUUAUCUGCGCUAUUGA